AGGACGAACGCUGGCGGCGUGCUUAACACAUGCAAGUCGAGCGGAAAGGCCCUUCGGGGUACUCGAGCGGCGAACGGGUGAGUAACACGUGAGUAAUCUGCCCUUAGCUCUGGGAUAGCUCCGGGAAACCGGGAUUAAUACCAGAUAUGACCACUUUAGACAUCUUUUGUGGUGGAAAGAAUUUCGGCUGGGGAUGAACUCGCGGCCUAUCAGCUUGUUGGUGAGGUAAUGGCUCACCAAGGCGACG
rnacentral:rRNA from 1 species